UACGUAGGCAGCGAGCGUUGUUCGGAGUUACUGGGCGUAAAGGGUGUGUAGGCGGUUCUCUAAGUUUGGUGUGAAAUCUCCCGGCUCAACCGGGAGGGUGCGCCGAAAACUGGAGGGCUAGAGUGCGGGAAGGGAGAGUAGAAUUCCUGGUGUAGCGGUGAAAUGCGUAGAUAUCAGGAGGAAUACCGGUGGUGUAGACGGCUCUCUGGACCGCGACUGUCGCUGAGACACGAAAGCGUGGGUAGCAAACAGG
rnacentral:rRNA from 1 species